GACGAACGCUGGCGGCGUGCCUAAUACAUGCAAGUAGAACGCACAGUUUACACCGUAGCUUGCUACACCAUACACUGUGAGUUGCGAACGGGUGAGUAACGCGUAGGUAACCUGCCUGGUAGCGGGGGAUAACUAUUGGAAACGAUAGCUAAUACCGCAUAAUAUUGAUUAUUGCAUGAUAAUUGAUUGAAAGAUGCUAUUGCAUCACUACCAGAUGGACCUGCGUUGUAUUAGCUAGUAGGUGAGGUAACGGCUCACCUAGGCGACGAUACAUAGCCGACCUGAGAGGGUGAUCGGCCACACUGGGACUGAGACACGGCCCAGACUCCUACGGGAGGCAGCAGUAGGGAAUCUUCGGCAAUGGACGAAAGUCUGACCGAGCAACGCCGCGUGAGUGAAGAAGGUUUUCGGAUCGUAAAGCUCUGUUGUAAGAGAAGAACGGGUGUGAGAGUGGAAAGUUCACACUGUGACGGUAUCUUACCAGAAAGGGACGGCUAACUACGUG
rnacentral:rRNA from 1 species